rnacentral:rRNA from 1 species
CCAGUGGAGAUCGGCAACGAUCACCACCGGAUGGAAAGCUAGUCAAACUUGGUCAUUUAGAGGAAGUAAAAGUCGUAACAAGGUUUCCGUAGGUGAACCUGCGGAAGGAUCAUUAAAAGAAAUUGGUUAUACAUUUCAUGUAUCAACUGUUUAAACCCAUUCUGUGUACCUUGCCUGUUGCUUCCAUGGAGCCUGACUUUGGUCACUCUUGUGAUGUAAAUCCCAAGGGAGUCCCCAUGGAAGGUCAUCAAUAAAACUCAUGUAUCCAAUGUCUUCUGUCUGAACUGUUUAUAACAAUUGUUAAAACUUUCAACAACGGAUCUCUUGGUUCUCGCAUCGAUGAAGAACGCAGCGAAAUGCGAUAAGUAGUGUGAAUUGCAGAAUUCAGUGAAUCAUCGAAUCUUUGAACGCACAUUGCGCCUCCUGGUAUUCCGGGAGGCAUGCCUGUUCGAGCGUCAUUAAAUACCUCUCAAGCACCAUUGCUUGGUCAUGGAAGAUGAGUAUGCUUGCAUUCUCCCUUCUGAAAUUCAAAGGCGGAUCAUCUCAUAUUCCCUGGCGUAGUAAGUGUUUAUCUUUCGCUUGGAGUGUCUGACAGUCUUGCCAUCGACCCCCAUUAUUUCAAGGUUGACCUCGGAUCAGGUAGGGAUACCCGCUGAACUUAAGCAUAUCAAUAAGCGGAGGAAAAGAAACCAACAGGGAUUGCCUUAGUAACUGCGAGUGAAGCGGCAAAAGCUCAAAUUUGAAAUCUGGCGUCUUUGGCGUCCGAAUUGUAAUUUGGAGAGGCAUCUUCGGUGAUGGCGCUGUCCUAAGUUCCUUGGAACAGGAUGACAUAGAGGGUGAGAUCCCCGUGCCUGGGUGGCUGUCCAUCUCCAUGUGAAGUGUCUUCGAC